rnacentral:lncRNA from 1 species
CAGAAAUUGCUUCUUCUUCCCCCAGUACCAGCAGUCAUUGCAAAGCUACAUUUUUGAUCUGGGACUUUCAGAAUAGGCCCUUUCCCAUACUGGAAGUGCCAUUUAAACUUGUAUCUUGGAACUCCAUUGCUUUAAUUCAAGGGUUGGGAGAUGUUGAGCAGUCACACAACAUCAAAGGACCUUCAACAGAAGAGAAAUAAGAGCUUUCACAGAAGAAGGAAUUGAGGGGUUGGAAGAAAAAUCUGUGAACAUGAAGAAUUCACAGGUUGUCAUGACAGAAGGAUCCCAGCUAUACUUCACAUAUACAGGCAGAAGUGAAGACACAGUUACCUUUCUUUGACCCGGAUCCUUCAGUAACUUUCCAAGCACAUAAAAAAAUCUUCACAUUGUCAACAUUUUGCUGAUGUAUACAUUCUUACAUUCCAUUGUAGCAUUUACCACACAUUUCAUAUUCUUGUUUUGCAUACUGAUGGAUGUCUAGUAGACACAGACUGUCAUAAGAUUUCUGGAUACUCAAAGACCUACAUAUUCUUGAAAUAUAUGAGUUGAUCAAGAUAAGCCUGGACUGACAGAACAGAUGUUAUUAUUAAAUAUGACAGAGAAACUUCACAGAACUCAGAUUCAUCUAAUUAUUAAUUUUAAUUCCUCUGUCUACUAACUGGGCAUCCAGAUCUAAAUCACCAUUCUUAUUCCAAUCAGAACACCAAUAAUUUAACUUCAAUUUUUUCAGUGUUUACCUUCCAUACACAUCCAUCCUGGUAAAGUCUGUAGUAAUUACCCUCAAAAUCAAUGAGCAUAAAAACUUCAUGAAGAGUAUAAUCAGAGCAUCUUCUGAGGGGUGGUCAAAGCAGGUGAGCAGAAGUGAGUGGCCUUGCACUUUUGACCAAGUCAGGGACAAAGUUUUGGCAGGCUCAAACAAAAACAAAAAGUAAAUAAAUAAAUUGGAAAUUGAAAGUGUUGAAGACAGUGUACAAAAAACCAGGAAAUCAUUCUAGUUGCAUAUAUUGAAUCAAGCUAAACAGGCAGGAACAACCGAUAUGUUCCUCUUAUGUAACUCAUAAAGAGGAAAACCAAGUUGUCUCACAAGUCAGUCCUCAGAGCUUAUACUAUCUUCAGUCUUCAAACUGAUUGUAGCCAAACUAUACUAAUUGCCCCCAAAUAAGGCCUGGAAUCAGAAAAUAAGAAUGGGAGGAGAUUAAGAAUUAAAUUGUUGGCUGGUAAGAUAAGACAUUUGAUUUAAUCAGCUGUAUCAAUGGUCCCAAUCAUAUUUAGAAAAAGCACAGUACGAGUUUACUUGUAUCAGAGAAUAAUGACUUUGCAAGCUACUUUGGUUCUCCAAAAUGAGAAAUGGCAUUAACUAUGUCCAAAGUUAUCAGGCAGCCUGAAAAAGAAUAAAGGUCAUUAUAACCAACUAUGUACAUAAAAUUACGAAAAAUCUUGAACUCACAAUAGACAGAGUCAUACUCAUUUGAAAUUACUUUUAUUUCUCCUAAUCUCUUUUAGAAGUUCUUCCGUUAGUGGUAGAACAUUUAGUUUUUCAAUCAUAAAUCUUUUUUACAAUUCAGAGUUAAAAAAAAAAAAAAAAAAAAAAAAAAAAAA